rnacentral:rRNA from 1 species
AAUCCAUAGGUUAAUGAGGCGAACCGGGGGAACUGAAACAUCUAAGUACCCCGAGGAAAAGAAAUCAACCGAGAUUCCCCCAGUAGCGGCGAGCGAACGGGGAGGAGCCCAGAGCCUGAAUCAGCAUGUGUGUUAGUGGAAGCGUCUGGAAAGGCGCGCGAUACAGGGUGACAGCCCCGUACACAAAAGCGCAUGUGCUGUGAGCUCGAUGAGUAGGGCGGGACACGUGGUAUCCUGUCUGAAUAUGGGGGGACCAUCCUCCAAGGCUAAAUACUCCUGACUGACCGAUAGUGAACCAGUACCGUGAGGGAAAGGCGAAAAGAACCCCGGCGAGGGGAGUGAAAAAGAACCUGAAACCGUGUACGUACAAGCAGUGGGAGCACCCUUUGGGGUGUGACUGCGUACCUUUUGUAUAAUGGGUCAGCGACUUAUAUUCUGUAGCAAGGUUAACCGUAUAGGGGAGCCGGAGGGAAACCGAGUCUUAAUUGGGCGUUAAGUUGCAGGGUAUAGACCCGAAACCCGGUGAUCUAGCCAUGGGCAGGUUGAAGGUUGGGUAACACUAACUGGAGGACCGAACCGACUAAUGUUGAAAAAUUAGCGGAUGACCUGUGGCUGGGGGUGAAAGGCCAAUCAAACCGGGAGAUAGCUGGUUCUCCCCGAAAGCUAUUUAGGUAGCGCCUCGUGAAUUCAUCUCCGGGGGUAGAGCACUGUUUCGGCUAGGGGGCCAUCCCGGCUUACCAACCCGAUGCAAACUGCGAAUACCGGAGAAUGUUAUCACGGGAGACACACGGCGGGUGCUAACGUCCGUCGUGAAGAGGGAAACAACCCAGACCGCCAGCUAAGGUCCCAAAGUCAUGGUUAAGUGGGAAACGAUGUGGGAAGGCCCAGACAGCCAGGAUGUUGGCUUAGAAGCAGCCAUCAUUUAAAGAAAGCGUAAUAGCUCACUGGUCGAGUCGGCCUGCGCGGAAGAUGUAACGGGGCUAAACCAUGCACCGAAGCUGCGGCAGCGACGCUUAUGCGU